UGGGGAAUCUUGCGCAAUGCGCGAAAGCGUGACGCAGCAACGCCGCGUGGGGGAAGAAGGCCUUCGGGUUGUAAACCCCUUUCAGUUGGGACGAAGCUUCGCCGGUGAAUAGCCGGCCGGAGUGACGGUACCUUCACAAGAAGCCCCGGCUAACUACGUGCCAGCAGCCGCGGUAAUACGUAGGGGGCUAGCGUUGUCCGGAAUCAUUGGGCGUAAAGAGCGUGUAGGCGGCCCGGUAAGUCCGCUGUGAAAGUCGGGGGCUCAACCCUCGAAAGCCGGUGGAUACUGUCGGGCUAGAGUGCGGAAGAGGCGAGUGGAAUUCCUGGUGUAGCGGUGAAAUGCGCAGAUAUCAGGAGGAACACCGAUUGCGAAGGCAGCUCGCUGGGACGUAACUGACGCUGAGACGCGAAAGCGUGGGGAGCAAACA
rnacentral:rRNA from 1 species